GCAGUAAGGUGCUGCUCUGUCAAACUCACCCCUCGGAAACUCCUCUCCAAAAUCAGACAUUUAAUAUACUUGUCUCUAACUGUGCUCCUACUUAGUGAGAUGUUUUGUUGUUUUGUGGAAGCCAGUGCUCACCAACAGCCCCAUGCUUUUCUUCCCAAACCUGUGCUGUCUGCUUGUUCUCUGCAGUGACAAUCCUGUAUUGGAAAUAACUUGAGGAAUAUCUGGGAGCAGUGAAGCCUUCAAAGGAAAAUUCUUGGGAAGCUGGAAUUACAGUGGGAUGGAAAAUAUAAUCUUUCUCACUUCAGAUGAACUUCUGCCUUCCUUGAGAUUCCUGUGAAUUUCAGAGCCUUUGAUGGCCACGAAACAUCAGAGGAGCCUUUACUCUAAGUAAAACCUAUGUGAAAGUAGCACUGCUCCUGUUCCCACAAGGAGAUGCUGUGCGUCCUGCUUCUGUCAUCCUCUCAGCUGAUGCAGUCCAACUGCAUUUGUCUGGGAGGUCGUGGCUGUGCCCUGAAUGCUGUGUAGAGCAUUGCAGAAGCAAGACAUUGUAGGAACGGGUCAGGGGCCACUCCAGUUGCUCUCCUGAAGGGAGAAGUCUGAGGUCAGAGGGCACAGGUGGCAGGCAUAGAGGCAGCCCUGGAUCAGGGCGAUGACAGGUUAGCAAAAAGGAUGGCACAACCAUCUGCACAAGGUAGAGAGGCCACUCCAUACUGCAUAGGUACAGCACAUAUGAUAGGGCAGGCAAUUUCCUCUCCCCAGUGGAAACUGCAGCAGGAGACUAUGCAGAAAGGCCAUCAAGGGCUACAGGGUUAGAAGAAUGCUCCAGCAGGCCCCUCCUGAAGGGAGGCACUGAUCCAUAUAAGAACACUGUGGGUGUCCCACAGUGAAAUCACUCCAAAACCAUUAGAGUACAGCAUCUGAGCAAGCAGAGGAGGAGACAGGAAAAUCAAGAGCAGACAUCCCAAGGUGGAUAUUUUCCAUGUGGGCAAUGUGGAGAAGCAGGCCUUGGUGUGGGCACCUCCAGAGCAUUCCACAGAUGCAAAUCACCUAGUGACAGGUCCUGACUGGGAGAAGGCUGGAGGGCCCGGGAGCUGUCUUGCUGCUGCAGGGUGGCUGCAAGUGAUCCGCAGCCAGCAGCACAGAGAACUGCAGGUCAGGAAUUGUGCAAUCCUUGUGGUAGCAUUGUUGGUUGACGCCUCAUCUCUCAUAAAUGUGGGCUUAUUUGACCCUCCCACCCAAACAAUUCACACCCAGGUGUAUCUGACCAAGAGCGUUUGAGCUCUCCAUGCUUCUCUCAUUCUUCACUGUGUCCUGUUACCUCCCAUUCCUCAGGCUUCCCAUCUUGAUUUAUUUCCCUCUGCCCCUCCUGCUGACACUUUGUACAGCGUUGCCUCCCAGGAGCUAGUUUGCCUUCUGCCUUGCUCUAGCAUACUUCCCAACUGUAACUGCAGUUCUUCUGUCCAACAGAUAGCUGUGCUUUCCUGAAACAAGCUGAAGACGUGUUGGACCGGGCUUGGAGCACUGCAGCAUAUUCCAUGGAGAGAGAACCUUACUUUUCUGCUGGUGUGGUGUUGAGAAGGGAAUUCCUCUUGAUGUGAAUGGAGAGCAGUUUUUGAACAUAUACUUUGGCACAAAAUAUACUGACUUUCUGCAGGGAUGUGCUGAACCAUGCAGCAGGAAAAGAGGAAUCCAAGCUGAGCAAAGCUGAGAGAAAAUAAAAUCAACUACAGAAGGUAAAAUGUCAGCCACCUUCCCCUUUGAAUUCUGCAAGACAUAACAGCUGAAGAGGUAAGAGCAGAUAACCAGAAAACAUGCAUCAGAGAAGCCUUUUUUGAGAACCAUUGGGUCUGCCAAGUGGUCUGGGCAGAAAAGCAGUAGCCUCGAAAGACACAUCUUUUAAAGAAGCUGAAUGAUUUUGGGACAUUGGUCUUCACUGCAGACAAAGGUAGAGAGAGAGAUGCCAUCCCACGAUGCUACUCUCUAGCAGUUAAAACUGAGGAACUGUUGGGCUUGAGGUAACCAGACACCCGCAUGCCACCUGAACGCCACUGGCUUCCCUACAGAAAGGUUUGCUGCCUUUUCAGAACAGUCUCUCAUGGGAUUCUUCAUUAGUUCCUGAAUCCCAAGCAGAGGCUUAUUGCCUGGUCUGCGUGAUAGUUUCUGGAUGUUUUCCAAUGGGUUUGUAAGUAAAACUAUGCUUAAAAUAGUGGAUCUCUUUGUUUGGAAGGAAAAAUGAAGCCCUUUUUUUUUUUUUUUUUUUUUUAAAUCUCAUUUCCUUUCUUGUAACAUACAAAUAAAGAGGUUUUAAAACCAAU
rnacentral:lncRNA from 1 species